UAGCUCAGUGGUAGAGUGUGUGCUUAGCAUGCAUAAGGUCCUGGGUUCAAUCCCCAG
rnacentral:tRNA from 1 species